AUUGAACGCUGGCGGCAGGCCUAACACAUGCAAGUCGAGCGGAUGAAGGGAGCUUGCUCCUGGAUUCAGCGGCGGACGGGUGAGUAAUGCCUAGGAAUCUGCCUGGUAGUGGGGGAUAACGUCCGGAAACGGGCGCUAAUACCGCAUACGUCCUGAGGGAGAAAGUGGGGGAUCUUCGGACCUCACGCUAUCAGAUGAGCCUAGGUCGGAUUCGCUAGUUGGUGGGGUAAAGGCCUACCAAGGCGACGAUCCGUAACUGGUCUGAGAGGAUGAUCAGUCACACUGGAACUGAGACACGGUCCAGACUCCUACGGGAGGCAGCAGUGGGGAAUAUUGGACAAUGGGCGAAAGCCUGAUCCAGCCAUGCCGCGUGUGUGAAGAAGGUCUUCGGAUUGUAAAGCACUUUAAGUUGGGAGGAAGGGUAGUAAGUUAAUACCUUGCUGUUUUGACGUUACCAACAGAAUAAGCACCGGCUAACUUCGUG
rnacentral:rRNA from 1 species